rfam:Stegodyphus mimosarum contig42620, whole genome shotgun sequence.
GCCUUCGUGGUGUAGUGGUCAGCAGGCUGGGCGCGUAUUCCAGAGGUCAGUGGUUCGAGUCCCGGCGAAGGCG